GCCCGUUUGGCUUAGCGGUAAAGCGCAUCACUAGUACCUAGCAAAUUCCGCUGAUGCAAAUGAUGAGAUCCUAGGUUCGAUUCCUAGAACGGGCA